rnacentral:rRNA from 1 species
AGGAUAAACGCUGGCGGCGUGCAUGAGACAUGCAAGUCGAACGGACGAUCAGGGCUUGCUCUGAUCGUUAGUGGCGGACGGCUGAGUAACGCGUAGGUGACCUGCCCCGAAGUGGGGAAUAACUGCCCGAAAGGGUGGCUAAUACCGCAUGUGGUGGUGUGUUCAUUCACACCAGUAAAGCCGCAAGGCGCUUCGGGAGGGGCCUGCGUCCGAUUAGCUCGUUGGUGGGUAACGGCUCACCAAGGCGACGAUCGGUAGGUGGUCUGAGAGGACGAUCACCCCAGACUGGGACUGAGACACGGCCCAGACUCCUACGGGAGGCAGCAGUCGGGAAUUUUGCGCAAUGGACGAAAGUCUGACGCAGCAACGCCGCGUGAGGGAUGAAGGCCUUCGGGUUGUAAACCUCUUUUAUCAGGGAAGAUAAUGACGGUACCUGAUGAAUAAGUCACGGCUAACUACGUGCCAGCAGCCGC